CUUUCUGCUCACACACCAGAUCCCACUGCAAGGACAGGCAGAAAGGGACCUCCUAUGAACAUCAGCCCCUCUCCAGCAGUCCUGCAGCCUCAGCUUCUUCCCAAGACAGGCCUCAUCCUGCUGCCUCCCAGGAAGACUCUACCUCCACUCACAUUCCACCUCCAGAUGGAUUAUGUAAAUACCAACCUGGGACUGGAAAAAAGGGAGGGAGAAAAGAGACCUCUACUGUUUCUCUACUGUUUCUCCUUUCCUUCUCAGCUCUUUGUCCCAACUCCCUGAAGCCACUUUAGCCCUUCCCUGCCUUAAUCACCUACCAAUUAGUGAUGAUAAUAACAGUUCUUGUGUAUAAGCCUGUUAUUACAAGCCAUCAACUACAAGUGCUUUGUAUUCA